UACAGAGGGGGCAAGCGUUAUUCGGAAUUAUUGGGCGUAAAGGGCGCGUAGGCGGCGAUUCAAGUGACGGGUGAAAUCCCUCGGCUUAACCGAGGAACUGCCUGUCAGACUGGAUUGCCUGAGUCCGGGAGAGGCGAGUGGAAUUCCCAGUGUAGCGGUGAAAUGCGUAGAUAUUGGGAGGAACACCAGUGGCGAAGGCGGCUCGCUGGACCGGAACUGACGCUGAGGCGCGAAAGCGUGGGGAGCAAACAGG
rnacentral:rRNA from 1 species